GACGAACGCUGGCGGCGCGCUUAACACAUGCAAGUCGAACGAUGAUGCUGGAGCUUGCUCCAGUUGAUUAGUGGCGAACGGGUGAGUAACACGUGAGCAAUCUGCCCUUGACUCUGGGAUAACUGCGGGAAACUGUAGCUAAUACCGCAUCCUUUCACCGGGGGGCAUCCGCUGGUGAUGAAAGAAUUUCGGUCAAGGAUGAGCUCGCGGCCUAUCAGCUAGUUGGUGAGGUAACGGCUCACCAAGGCAACGAUGCGUAGCCGACCUGAGAGGGUGAUCGGCCACACUGGGACUGAGACACGGCCCAGACUCCUACGGGAGGCAGCAGUGGGGAAUAUUGCACAAUGGGCGCAAGCCUGAUGCAGCAACGCCGCGUGAGGGAUGACGGCCUUCGGGUUGUAAACCUCUUUUAGCAGGGAAGAAGCGAAAGUGACGGUACCUGCAGAAAAAGCACCGGCUAACUACGUGCCAGCAGCCGCAGUAA
rnacentral:rRNA from 1 species